CGAGCGAUUGCUCACUUCACACCUUUCUCGGUGGUGGUGGACUGCUUCACACCAGUUAAAAGGAGAAUGUGGCCCAGAACAAACAUUGCAGAUGGCACAAGAGUCGGAGGAUGGGGAAAUGUGCAUAAGUGAGCAGGAGGAGGGGGGACUGAGCAGCAUGGACAGGUCUCAGCUGUGUGCGCCACUCACCGGUGUGACGGGCUCAGGAGGCUCGGGGGUUCACGGUAGCUCACCUACCGAGGACGCUCGGCUGGAGAGCCCAAAUCCGGGAGAGGCGGUGGGAGAACUGGCCUCUGAGAAGCCGAAAUGCACCCCGGGAGAGACGGAGGCGAAGAGAGAUACGUCCAGAAGCAGCGUGUCUGAGACCCAGUGCCAGGUCCCUCCUGACCAGAGUGGAGCAGGAGGCAACCCUGCCAUAAGUUUACCAUCCUCCAACUCAGAAAUGGAUCUGUUAGAAGUUACACAAUUAAGAGACAAAUUGAACGGGGACAGCCGAAGAAAAGCAAAAGAUCAAGGAGUAAAAAAGGAACUGGAAAAUGAAGCCACAACUCACCCUUGUUCUCUUUUUUCUUUCUAUGCUGAGGCUCAUGUCUCUGAAUGCAUGUGGGCUCCGUACAGAGACUAAAAGAAAAGGUGUGUUUGCUGAAGGUAAAAAUCAGGUGAUCUGUCUGCAGGAGACCAGGUGGGAUGAUAAAAUUGUUGCUGAAAUUAGAAAGGAAUGGAGGGGAGGAUGUUUUGUGUCAAACGGUACACCGGCAGCUCGGGGAGUAGCUGUGUUGGUACCGGAGGAAUUAACAGAAACUGUGAUAGUUAUUGGUAAAGAUCAGGAUGGGAGGUUAAUAGUAAUAGAAUUUACAUAUAAUAAUGAAAUUUACAGAGUAAUUAAUGCGCAUUGCCCCAACGUAGGAGGAGAAAGGAAAACAUUUAUUAAAGAGUUAAAUAAAUGGUGUGUUAACAUAAAAACUGCCUCAUAAUAGGAGAUUUUAAUCUGUGUCUGUCAAAGCUGGACAGGGUAAAUGAAAAUAAACAUAAAGAUGACAGGGACUGAGCUCAUAAAUCUGAUGCAACAAAAUAACUUAAUAGAUUUAUGGAGGAGUCUAAACCCAAAUAAAAAACAAUUUUCACGAAAGCAAGUGGUGGAAGGGAUUUUAAAACAAACCAGAAUCGACUUCUGCUUGGUUUCUCCAGAAAUGGUCCAAAUAGUGAGCAGAGUCCAGUAUAAGGAGAACACAUGGUCUGAUCACUCCUCUAUGGAGGUGGACCUGAAUCAUCCAGGGAUGGCCAGGAAUGGAGGCUCCUGGUGUCUGAAUAACAGUUUACUUAUAGAUGAAAAGUUUAUUAGGAGAGCAAGGAGUUUCCUGACAGGAAUAGUGGAUGAAAUUUAUUUUACAGAGGACAAAUUAGCAUGGUGGGAUGGAGUUAAAGAGAGGAUUAAGAAGAUGUGCAUAAGUUACAGUAAGCAAAAAAGGUGGGAGGAAAGUAAGGAGGAAUUUAGGAUAAGGCAGCAAAUAAAAAUAGAGCUGGAAAAAGUAGGAGAGGGUCAAACACAGGAUUUAACAAAAUACUUAUGCUUUAAAAAAAGAACUGGAAGUAAUAGAAAUAAAGAAAUGCAAAGGUGCAAUAAUAAGGAGUAAGGUGAAGCAUGCAGUGGAGGGGGAGAGGUGCACAGCCUAUUUUUUGGGCUUAGAAAAGAAAAAGCAGGAAAAGUGCUUUAUUAAAGAAUUAAUAACUGAGGAAGGAAAGAAACUGGACAAAACAGAGGAAGUUCUGGAGGAGGUGGAGCACUUUUAUAGGAGACUUUUUUCCAGUGAAGGAGUGGAAGGAGAGGCUCUUGAGAGAGCGCUGUCGGCCCUGAGCAGCCGGCUUCCUCCAGAGGAGGCUGAGUGGUGUGACUCCCCCCUCACUUUAGGGGAGGUGGAGGCGGCCAUCGGUGGACUUGGGCGGAACAAAAGCCCUGGCUCGGACGGGAUCACUGCUGACUUCUACAUCUCUUUUAGAGACCUGCUGGCCCCGGUCCUCCUCUCGCUUUACUAAAGUAUGGAGGAGCAGAGGUUAACCCCCGGGACCUUGACGUUAGGAUUGGUAAGCCUGGUGUACAAGCAGAGAGGGGACAGAUCCUGCCUGAAGAACUACAGACCAAUCAGUUUGCUCAACACAGAUUACAAAAUAUUAGCAAAAAUUUUAGCAAACAGGUUAAAAAAUGUAAUAACAUAGUAGGGGACACACAGUCAUACAGCAUACCACGGAGAGAGAUUUCUGACACAAUACUAACAGUUAAACACGGGGUGCAGCAGUUACAACAGGAGGGGGGGAUUUACAUCACUGUAGACUUCAAUAAAGCAUUUGAUAGAGUAGAACACACUUUUUUAUGGAGGUUAAUGAGGACACUGGGGUUUAGGAGCAGGUAUAUGGCAGUUAUUAUACAACAACGUACACAGCCAAAUAAAAUGUAAUGGUUUCUUAACAAGACCAAUCCAACUUCAUCGCUUCAUCAGGCAGGGCUGUCCUCUCUCUGCACUUUUGUACAGUUUGGCGACCGAGCCACUGGCCCAACUCAUCACAAAGGACAGACACAUCACAGGGGUAGUAACACCGGCACAUAGACAUAUCAAAAUAAUUCAAUACGUGGACGAUACAAACAUCUUUGUUAAAAAUGCAGAACAGGUGGACAGUGUAAUCACGCACCUGGACACAUAUUGUAGCGCAUCCGGAGCACGGGUGAACACAGACAAAUCUCAAAUCAUGUUUUGUGGCUCCGUGGCUCGGCCGCCAAACAUUUGGGGAUUUGAAGAGGCCCAGGAGAUUGUCAAGGUCCUGGGGGUCCACAUUGGGAAGGAUGCCGCAGCAGCGAGGGACAAGUCCUGGGGGGCUCUCCCUCCUGUCUCUUUCUCCCAGUCACUCACCCUCUGGCUCUACCUGCAUUCUACCAGCUGAUUACUGCUAUAAGUGUGAGCUGCAGUAAUCAGCUAAACACUACUCACCUGUUCUCCUCCUCACCUCAACUAUAUAAGCUCUGUGCUUCCUUUUGAUCCCUGCUGGAUCAUUGACUCACAUGUUGUCAGAUUCUGUUCCCCACCAUCACCUCUGGACUAUGUCAGUUUAUGGACACUUCUGCUUCCCCCCUUUGUGGAUUGCCACUCUUGGACUCUGUUGUGCUCUUGUAUGUGUUGGACUUUCCCCGGCCUGUCUUGCCCCCUUGGUUUACAGUUUCCCCAUAGUGUGAGUACCUCACCUUAGUUCUGUUGUAUUAAGCUGUUUUAUUUCAUAGUAUUAGUAUAGUUUGGUUUUUGCUGUGCCUCCCCAGUUCUGGUCUCUGUUUAUAGAGUAAUUUGGAUUCUCAUUUAAUAAAACCCCUUUCCUGAU